GCGACAGGCCUAACACAUGCAAGUCGAGGGGCGAGCACAAGGAGCAAUCUGAGGUGGCGACCGGCGCACGGGUGAGUAACACGUAUGCAACCUGCCUGUAAGCGGGGAAUAACCCGUUGAAAGACGGACUAAUACCGCAUAAUACUAAAUUACUGCAUGGUAAUUUAUUUAAACAUUUAUGGCUUACAGAUGGGCAUGCGCAUGAUUAGCUAGUUGGAGAGGUAACGGCUCCCCAAGGCAACGAUCAUUAGGGGUUCUGAGAGGAAGGUCCCCCACACUGGUACUGAGACACGGACCAGACUCCUACGGGAGGCAGCAGUGAGGAAUAUUGGUCAAUGGACGAGAGUCUGAACCAGCCAAGUCGCGUGCAGGAAGAAUGUCCCUAUGGAUUGUAAACUGCUUUUGCAGGGGAAUAAAGUGCAUCACGUGUGAUGUUUUGUAUGUACUCUGCGAAUAAGGAUCGGCUAACUCCGUGCCAGCCGCAGC
rnacentral:rRNA from 1 species